rnacentral:rRNA from 3 species
UGAGGAAUAUUGCACAAUGGGCGAAAGCCUGAUGCAGCAACGCCGCGUGAGUGAUGAAGGCCCUCGGGUUGUAAAGCUCUGUCGGGUGGGAAGAUGUGGUCCGGCUAACAACCGGAUUGUGACGGUACCAUCAAAGGAAGCACCGGCUAACUCCGUGCCAGCAGCCGCGGUAAUACGGAGGGUGCAAGCGUUGUCCGGAUUUAUUGGGCGUAAAGCACGUGCAGGCGGCUUGGUAUGUCGAGUGUGAAAUCCCGGGGCUUAACCCCGGAACUGCGCUCGAAACUGCCAAGCUUGAGUUCGGAAGGGGGAGAUGGAAUUUCCGGUGUAGGGGUGAAAUCCGUAGAUAUCGGGAAGAAUACCGGUGGCGAAGGCGAUCUCCUGGUCCGAUACUGACGCUCAGACGUGAAAGCGUGGGUAGCAAACAGA